rnacentral:rRNA from 1 species
UACGUAGGGGCUAGCGUUAUCCAGAAUUACUGGGCGUAAAGGGUGCGUAGGUGGUUUCUUAAGUCAGAGGUGAAAGGCUACGGCUCAACCGUAGUAAGCCUUUGAAACUGGGAAACUUGAGUGCAGGAGAGGAGAGUGGAAUUCCUAGUGUAGCGGUGAAAUGCGUAGAUAUUAGGAGGAAUACCAGUUGCGAAGGCGGCUCUCUGGACUGUAACUGACACUGAGGCACGAAAGCGUGGGGAGCAAACAGGAUUAGAUACCCUGGUAGUCCCUGA